rnacentral:rRNA from 2 species
UCCAGGCAAAUCCGGAUAAUCAAGGCUGAGGUGUGAUGACGAGGCACUACGGUGCUGAAGUAACAAAUGCCCUGCUUCCAGGAAAAGCCUCUAAGCAUCAGGUAACAUCAAAUCGUACCCCAAACCGACACAGGUGGUCAGGUAGAGAAUACCAAGGCGCUUGAGAGAACUCGGGUGAAGGAACUAGGCAAAAUGGUGCCGUAACUUCGGGAGAAGGCACGCUGGUGUGUAGGUGAAGCCCCUGCGGGUGGAGCUGAGACCAGUCGAAGAUACCAGCUGGCUGCAACUGUUUAUUAAAAACACAGCACUGUGCAAACACGAAAGUGGACGUAUACGGUGUGACGCCUGCCCGGUGCCGGAAGGUUAAUUGAUGGGGUUAUCCGUAAGGAGAAGCUCUUGAUCGAAGCCCCGGUAAACGGCGGCCGUAACUAUAACGGUCCUAAGGUAGCGAAAUUCCUUGUCGGGUAAGUUCCGACCUGCACGAAUGGCGUAAUGAUGGCCAGGCUGUCUCCACCCGAGACUCAGUGAAAUUGAACUCGCUGUGAAGAUGCAGUGUACCCGCGGCAAGACGGAAAGACCCCGUGAACCUUUACUAUAGCUUGACACUGAACAUUGAGCCUUGAUGUGUAGGAUAGGUGGGAGGCUUUGAAGCGUGGACGCCAGUCUGCGUGGAGCCAACCUUGAAAUACCACCCUUUAAUGUUUGAUGUUCUAACGUUGGCCCCUGACCGGGGUUGCGGACAGUGUCUGGUGGGUAGUUUGACUGGGGCGGUCUCCUCCCAAAGCGUAACGGAGGAGCACGAAGGUUAGCUAAUCCUGGUCGGACAUCAGGAGGUUAGUGCAAUGGCAUAAGCUAGCUUGACUGCGAGCGUGACGGCGCGAGCAGGUGCGAAAGCAGGUCAUAGUGAUCCGGUGGUUCUGAAUGGAAGGGCCAUCGCUCAACGGAUAAAAGGUACUCCGGGGAUAACAGGCUGAUACCGCCCAAGAGUUCAUAUCGACGGCGGUGUUUGGCACCUCGAUGUCGGCUCAUCACAUCCUGGGGCUGAAGUAGGUCCCAAGGGUAUGGCUGUUCGCCAUUUAAAGUGGUACGCGAGCUGGGUUUAGAACGUCGUGAGACAGUUCGGUCCCUAUCUGCCGUGGGCGCUGGAGAAUUGAGGGGGGCUGCUCCUAGUACGAGAGGACCGGAGUGGACGCAUCACUGGUGUUCGGGUUGUCAUGCCAAUGGCACUGCCCGGUAGCUAAAUGCGGAAGAGAUAAGUGCUGAAAGCAUCUAAGCACGAAACUUGCCCCGAGAUGAGUUCUCCCUGAGACUUUAAGUCUCCUGAAGGAACGUUAAAGACGAUGACGUUGAUAGGCCGGGUGUGUAAGCGCAGCGAUGCGUUGAGCUAACCGGUACUAAUGAACCGUGAGGCUUAACCUU